rnacentral:rRNA from 1 species
GUGGGGAAUAUUGCACAAUGGGCGAAAGCCUGAUGCAGCAACGCCGCGUGAGCGAUGAAGGCCUUCGGGUCGUAAAGCUCUGUCCUAAGGGAAGAAUUUUGACGGUACCUUGGGAGGAAGCCCCGGCUAACUACGUGCCAGCAGCCGCGGUAAUACGUAGGGGGCAAGCGUUAUCCGGAAUCACUGGGCGUAAAGGGUGCGUAGGCGGCCUUUCAAGUCAGAGGUGAAAGGCUACGGCUCAACCGUAGUAAGCCUUUGAAACUGUAGGGCUUGAGUGCAGGAGAGGAAAGUGGAAUUCCUAGUGUAGCGGUGAAAUGCGUAGAUAUUAGGAGGAACACCAGUGGCGAAGGCGACUUUCUGGACUGUAACUGACGCUGAGGCACGAAAGUGUGGGGAGCAAACAGGAUUAGAAACCCUAGUAGUCC